AUUGAACGCUGGCGGCAGGCCUAACACAUGCAAGUCGAACGAGUGGCGGACGGGUGAGUACUGUCUGGGAAACUGCCUGAUGGAGGGGGAUAACUACUGGAAACGGUAGCUAAUACAGCAUACCAUCAACUGUGCCCAGAGGGGAUUAGCUAGUAGGUGGGGGAACGGCUAACCUAGGCGACGAUCCCUAGCUGGUCUGAGAGGAGGACCAGCAACACUGGAACUAGAACACGGUCCAGACUCCUACGGGAGGCAGUAGUGGGGAAUCUUGCACAAUGGGCGCAAGCCUGAUGCGGCCAUGCCGCUGGUAUGAAGAAGGCCUUCGGGUUGUAAAGUACUUUCAGCGGGGAGGCGUUACCCGCAGAAGAAGCACCGGCUAACUCCGUGCCAGCAGCCGCGGUAAUAC
rnacentral:rRNA from 1 species